GUGGAAUGAUUAGAGAGCAUUUGGUGGCUUUCUACAAAUCCACUAAGCUUAAACCUCACAGGCUCAUAUUCUACAGGGAUGGGGUGAGUGAAGGACAAUUCAGUCAGGUCCUUCUUCAUGAAAUGGAGGCUAUAAGGAAGGCCUGCAACUCUAUUGAGGAAAAUUAUAUGCCAAGGGUCACUUUUAUCGUCGUGCAAAAGAGGCAUCACACACGUCUUUUUGCUGCUAAUCACAAUGAUAGGAAUAACACUGAUAGGAGCGGCAACAUUCUUCCUGGCACCGUUGUCGAUACAAAGAU